rnacentral:rRNA from 1 species
GAUGAACGCUAGCGAUAGGCUUAACACAUGCAAGUCGAGGGGCAGCACAAGGUAGCUUGCUAUCUGGGUGGCGACCGGCGCACGGGUGCGUAACGCGUAUGCAACUUGCCCUAUACAGGAGGAUAACCCGUCGAAAGACGGACUAAUACUGCGUAUGCUCACAACUUGGCAUCAAGUGGUGAGGAAAGAAAUUCGGUAUAGGAUAGGCAUGCGUCCCAUUAGCUUGUUGGUGAGGUAACGGCUCACCAAGGCAACGAUGGGUAGGGGAACUGAGAGGUUUAUCCCCCACACUGGUACUGAGACACGGACCAGACUCCUACGGGAGGCAGCAGUGAGGAAUAUUGGUCAAUGGGCGCGAGCCUGAACCAGCCAAGUCGCGUGAAGGAUGACUGUCUUAUGGAUUGUAAACUUCUUUUAUACGGGAAUAACAAGAGUCACGUGUGACUCCCUGCAUGUACCGCAUGAAUAAGCAUCGGCUAACUCCGUG